rnacentral:sRNA from 1 species
GUCAGAGGAAGAAAGUAAGGAAAAAAGUCUUAUUGUAAUAUAAUAAAUACUUAUGAUAAGCUGUGUUGUGGUAGUAUAAAAGCUAGCUGUAGUGGCCGUCACUUUGUUACUAUAAAUAAAC